GCCAACGUUCAUAUCACGUUGAUUACACCAGUUCUCGUCCAUCACUGAAGUGAUGCAACGUUUAAUGUGGAUAGUACUUGGAUGGGUGACGCUGCUUAAAUCAUAUCAUUAGUUAUUGGUA
rnacentral:rRNA from 1 species